UACGUAGGGGGCUAGCGUUGUCCGGAUUUAUUGGGCGUAAAGAGCGUGUAGGCGGCCAUGUAGGUCCGGUGUGAAAACUCGAGGCUUAACCUCGAGAUGUCAUCGGAAACCAUUUGGCUAGAGUCCGGAAGAGGAGACUGGAAUUCCUGGUGUAGCGGUGAAAUGCGCAGAUAUCAGGAGGAACACCGGUGGCGAAGGCGGGUCUCUGGGCCGAUACUGACGCUGAGGAGCGAAAGCGUGGGGAGCGAACAGG
rnacentral:rRNA from 1 species